rnacentral:lncRNA from 1 species
UUCUAUUUGGUCUCUUAACAAGCACCUACAUACUUGUCUUAGUGUCCCUACACGAAUGGCUUAAGACUUUCCAUCCUUCCCGUUGAAGCAGACAUAGUACAAACUGAUCUAUUUGGAUUGUCAACAUCCCUUCGACAAAAAGGAACAUUUUUGGACAAUAUGGUUAUGCAAAGGUCUUUGUAGUCUAACAUCUUUAUAUUACUUCUUCCAUCAAUCCAUUAUCCAUGGAUUCACUAUUUGGACAUAUAUCCUUUAUUGAGAUAGUCCUAAUGAGUAACUUUGUGCAGUUGUUGUAUUAGACUUAACUAUACAUUCAGACAUUAUCUUGAAAGGUUUCUUCCUAAGAUUGACUUUCAGAACAUAUCUCCAACACAAAUAAUCUUCAUUU